AUUGAACGCUGGCGGAAUGCUUUACACAUGCAAGUCGAGCGGCAGCGCGGGGCAACCUGGCGGCGAGCGGCGAACGGGUGAGUAAUGCAUCGGAACGUACCCAGUCGUGGGGGAUAACUGUCCGAAAGGACAGCUAAUACCGCAUACGUCCUGAGGGAGAAAGCGGGGGGAUCGCAAGACCUCGCGCGAUUGGAGCGGCCGAUGCCGGAUUAGCUAGUUGGUAGGGUAAAGGCCUACCAAGGCGACGAUCCGUAGCUGGUCUGAGAGGACGACCAGCCACACUGGAACUGAGACACGGUCCAGACUCCUACGGGAGGCAGCAGUGGGGAAUUUUGGACAAUGGGCGCAAGCCUGAUCCAGCCAUCCCGCGUGCAGGAUGACAGCCCUACGGGUUGUAAACUGCUUUUGUUAGGGAGAAACCCUCGAUUUAUCGGGGGCUGACGGUACCUUUCGAAUAAGCACCGGCUAACUCCGUGCCAGCAGCCGCGGUAAAGUCUAG
rnacentral:rRNA from 1 species